UGUAGGCUAAAUCUUGGGAGUAUCGAUUAAGGGACACAUGGACUCUUACUCUAGCAGGUAUCUGAGUAAACACGUAGUCUAAUUCUUGUUUCCUUUCUCCCUAUAUCUCUCUUCUCUGAAUCUCAUUAGUUUCAAUUUCAAUGAAUGUUGAUGCUGAUAUAGCCAUCUUGUUCAUCUUAUUGACUUUUCUACUUUUGUAGCUCUCUUUUUUUUGACAAAGUGGAGCGAAUAAUGGGGUCACAGGAGACACUCCUACCCCUCAUUUCCACAAUGUGUGAUCAUUCCUUUCAGAUUUAGAAUAAUGGGGUCACAGGAGACACUCCUACCCCUCUGCCUCUUCCAGAAAAUCAUUUCAAUCUUUUAUUUUUUUUAUCUUUGAGAUGCCAAAGAG
rnacentral:lncRNA from 1 species